CUUGUUGGGAUUGAGCUUAAACAUCAUCUUUUUUUUUAUCUCUUCAGGAGUUGGGAGCAGUAGCAUUUGGGUGCACUCAGCAGGAGUGACAGCGUGAUUUAGAAGCCCUCGGAACCAUUCAGGGGAGGAGAUAAGUAUUGGAGGUGAAUAGACUGGCCCCAAAACUGACCCGAAGUGAGAGACAGCUAGUAGACUCAUUUCCACAGGGUCUGUUAUCCAAACCCCCAAGCCAUUUAAGAAAGCUCGGAUUGCAUUAUAGCUUGAUCUUACUUGGCAAAUCCUGUGGAAGUCUCUCUCAGCUUGGAAGUUUAUGGUGCUUGGGUUCUGCAGCGCCUGGACCUGCACAAUUUGGAGCAAACUCUUCCAGCACAACUGAGACAAAGUAUGGCAGACGCUUCCAGCAUGAAUCCAUGCAUCAAUGAUCAACUGAGCGAACCCGGGUGCUUUGUGAGGUAAUUUUGGAACUUAUAAGGAUAGGUACCAGCUUUAGGUAGGGAGAGCGCAAGGUUCAUUAGGCAGGGGGUAUGAUUAGAUAUGUCAGGAGGUAGAAAGGAGGCGACGGCAUGGGGGUAGGCUGAGAUAGUGGUGUUGUUGACUAAAAAACGGUCUAGCUUCUUUGCAAUAGGGCCUUCUGGUUGAUUAUUUGACCAGGUGUGACAUGGUCCAAGAUAGCGUAGAUCAAAUAGACCAGUUUGAAGGAAGCAGUCUUGCAUUUGAUACAUGAGGUUGUCUGUAAAGUCAACUGAUGGGCUUGAGUGUUCCAGGGGGAAUAGAAUUUAGUUCAGAUCACCACCCACAACCCAAUUUUUGCUAUCAAGAUCUAGUGUUGAGUGUAUCUGAAAAAGAUCAUUCCACAAAUCAGCUCUUUCAUCACUUUGGUUUGAAGCGUAGAUAGAUGUGUAGUAAAUAAGAGCGAGGUUUGGAAUGGAGAUCAAGCAUGUUAAGUGUUGUCUUGAUUGAGAUAAGUGCUGAACAACAAGCGGGUCCUUCCAAAUAAGAAUUAUUCGACCAUCAGGGUCUGAGAGAUGAUUCGAUAGGUAUUUCCAACCAAGGAAGAGCUUAGAAAGAAUAGGGCUUAGUGACGGUUCUUUUAUAUGAGUUUCGAGCAGGGCACCAAAAAGGGGCUUUUGAAUAUUUAGCUAAUCUACAAAAGGUUUGUGCUUAUCCGGGUCAUUUAGGCCACAGACGUUCAAAAAAAAAGAGUUUUACACUCAUUGGGAAGGGUUAGUAGGGUCCUCAUGAGGAGGCCCCAGAGAACCAAAAGAAAAAGUUGAUUUUGUGGGUUUGGGUCAGGGGUUUUUGGUACAGGGUGUUUGGAAGGAUAGAUUGGGAGAUUUAAUGGAGGUAAUGGAGAGUUUUGGAUAUCAAUGAAAGGGUUGGGAAAAGAACUAGAUGGAGGAGAUAAAACAGAGGAGGAACGAGAACACUUUAAGGACAGUCUAAGGAUGGGAUCAGGCAAGGAUAAAAGCAUUGUGUCACUGAUAGGUUGGGGUGGGUCAUGGGUUAAAGAAGGGCCAUGAAGGAAAGAGUUAGUUUGAGUAAGUUUUGAGGUUGAGGGAGUGUCGAUGGGAAUUGUAACAAUGGGCAAAAAUGAUUCAGGGCCUGAAGAAGAAACCAUAAUUGAUUUCUUUUUAGGAACAGGUUGGUAUCUUUUCUGGUUUUUUUCUGGAGGCUUUUGAGGGAGUAAAGUUUGACUGAGCAGGAUUGGUCUUUUCGGGAGUUGCUUUCGGUUUAAAGGUUUAUUUUUGUUUAGAGGCUGAAGCUUCCCCAUUUUCAGGUGCUGGAGGAGUGUAACUAAGGCAAUUCCGCAUGAUAUGACCUAACUCGUGACAGUGAGAACAAGUUGGGGGACCCAAGGAUAGUGAACUAGCACUUCCACAACUUCUCCAUUUUCCCUCUCAAAUUCGACAACAGGAGGCAAAGGUAAUGUUAGAUCAACUUCAACCUUCACAUGAGAUACUGAGAGGCUAACCAUAUUCUUUGUGAAUUCGUCUGUCUCUUUAGGUUCGCCAAUAAGGCCUGCUACCAAGCUCAGUCCCUCGUCGUAGCGAAGAUCAAGAGGUACCCCAGUGAGGUGUGCCCAAAUUUGGAUAGCUUUUAGUGGAGGAGUGCUCAUGGAAUGGUUAGAGUUCCAUUGAGCCGUGUGAAACAUAGAUUCACCAACAUACCAUAUGUUUUUCUCCAAAAUCUUCUGUCUGAGGUAAGGGCUUUGAAUACGCACAAUAACAGAAUGAUUCAACGGGUUGUUGUGUAUCUCAGGGCGCUUGCCUUUUCCCCACAUGUAGUUAAUACGCUUUGUAUUUGGUUGUAGGGAGGUGACCUCCCGUUGAAGUAACAUAUGAUGAAGUCUUGAUGAAUCUCUGCUCCCUUUUUGAAGACAGAGUCUGGGAUUACAACACGAGGCCGACCAGAGGGAGCUAUGGUUACAGGAGCAAGUCACUUCAGGGACAUAUCAGCAGAGGCGCGAAGCUUCUCUACUAAGGAUUGAGUUGGGAAGGAGUCUUUUGCUAGAGGGGAGGAGGUAGUGAUAGGUUUUGGCUUGGCUGGAAUGAGAUUUAAGGGCUGAGUAUGGUUAGGAGAGGAUGCUUUAUUGGUUUGGAUAGGGGAGGAUUCUUGAGGGGGAAUGAUUGAGAAGGUCCGAUUUGGAUUUGGUUCAGUGAGUUCAGAAGGGACUGUAGCAGAAUCAGAUCUAGAUUCUGAAACAGUACCAACAGUUGGUGAGGUUGAGUUGUUGCUCUAAGUCCAUUGGAAUGGUUUCAGAGGAGGUAGUCGUUGUUUCAAGUUUCUUCUCUGCAAUAGAAGCAAUAGUAAUCGAAGGUAAAGAGUUCUUACGAGACCCCUUGCGGGAGCAAGAUAAGACAGUUUUGGGAGUGGCUUCAGCUAAAGAUGGGAAGUUAACAGGGGACAGGGGUGAGGUUGGGUCGGGAGGCUCAGGUGAGAGGGAUAGAGGGAGGUUCGCCAGGAGCAAACACCGGUGGAUUCAUGCCGGAAGAGACACCAGGGACUUGCCGGGCAGACGCAAAAGAUUUUUCUCUUUACACACUAAAACUACAUGAUUACUUUUUUUUUUUUUAACUACAUGAUUACUUCCACUAUAGUUACUACUAUAAUCAUUUUCCCUAACCAGGAAAGUAAAUUUAUACAAGACUGGCUCUCCACUCACCGUAGCCUUGCCCCUUGGCCAUAGAUCUCGGUGACGGCUAUGUUUUCAGUGAGAAACUCUUCAUUUCUAAUAUUUUUUAAAAAAAUAUCCACAUGAGAACCUUCCAGUAAAAAUGCUUUAAAUCAAUUAGCUAAUUAAUCAUUGAAACCAUGCAUGGGUAAGUACGAAAAUGUUUAACUAAUCCACAAUUUACCCGAAAUAGAUAAUAUACAGAUUUGAAAACAUAUAAUUUCUAGGGCUUCCGCAAAAUCUAGAAAGAAGAUUUCAUCACCAUGUGGUCUAGAUAUCAUUAAUCGCACACUUUCUGUAUUUUAAGUUUUUAACUACUACUAUCUCGACAUAAAAUCUCAUAUAUGGGUUCCUUCAUAUACUUUUUAGCAUCUCUAUGUACGUUGGCCAGAUGGUAAUCAUAAUAAAUAAGUAAUAAAAUAGACAUACAUCACGUGAACCAUGUGGUGUAGGUAUCAUUCAUCGCAUACAUAUAAUAAAUAAACCCAUUAUGAAUUUUAAUUAUUACUGUCUCGACAGAAAAUCUCAUGGGAAUUGCUAUAUUGUUGUAAAUUAGAGAGUUUAGAGACCGAAUAUUUCUGUGUUAUUAUUAAUGAUCAAGUGGGUUCCUUUAUAUAAGGAUUACAAGAUGAAGAUAAAUGGAAAGUAUCCAAAACCUAAACUCACUAGGAUUAGGAAAACUACUAAUACAUAAUAAUGGAAAGAUUACAUAUACUAGGAAAAGGAUAUGGUUUCUUUUUCUCCAAGCUUUGUGGCCGUCUCUCUCUCCUAAAGUCGGCUCUCUCUCUCCUCUUUCUAGGGCUUCGGCCGUCUCUCAAUCUUCUAGGUAUUGAGCCGGUUUUGGACCGAGCCUGGUUAAUGGCAAUCCACUCCAUGAUUUAUAACACUCCCUCUUGGAUGCCAUAACCAUACAAGAUUUGUAGUACGCUUCAUGUUGCCUCAU